UGACUAUUACCGUAAACAAAAAAAAAAAAAUAUGAAAAUAUAUACUACUUAUUCGAUACUACUUAUUAAGUAUGCUUGUUGCACCCAAAUAAGCCUUCAAAUCC